UUCAGGGCCUUCGGAGAAUAUGCAGAAUGUGUAAGUGCCACACUUUUGAAGGCAACAAUGUUUGGCUCCUUGCCUAAGGAUAGAGGCAGAUAUCAUGGGAGCCCAGGAGUGUGUGUGACCCCUACAGCCAGCACUAAUGAGUAUGGUAGGGAACCUCAAAGCCAUGCUCUGUAUUUUGUGUGAUGGUGAAGGCUCUGUCAUUUGCAUAUCCAAGAGAAAUACUUAUGGCCGCUAGAUAAACUUGUAGGCUGUAUAUAGGAUAUCUUAAUAUGUCAAUAGUUUGAUUAGUAUAAUAAAAACAGCACAGAAACCAUAAGACAUAAUAAACACAGCACAGAAAUCGUAAGACUAGCAGCAUGUGUAACCUCAACAGCUGUGGGGUUUAUAUGGCUGUAGAUAUGAUAAUAGCUGAGAUGUACAGUGUUUAUCAUGUGUCAAGCGUUGUCAUAGAGGUUUACAUCUAUAAACAUAUUGCGUCAUCACAUGUAGAAACUUCAUAACAAUCCUAUGACUUUAGGUAUUAUUAUCCACAUAUUACAGAUUAGGAAAAGAGGAACAAAGAGGUUUGGUAAUGCGUUCAAGAUCACAAUGAACAAAUGAUGACUUAAGCCCAUGUAGUCUGUUUCCAGAGUUCUCUUAACCACUGAAAAUGAUCAAAGACAAAGAAGAGGUAAAGAUUUCAACUUUCAGGAGGGUAUAUAGUAGUGGGAGCUGUGUAUCUGUGGGGAAAAGAAAAAGACUUUCAAAUAACACUGAUUUUAGGUUGUAUACCAAAUAGAGAUGUACAGAAAGCUAGACAAAGACAUGCUAAGGAAGAAGAUUCAAAAAAUGAUCAAGUUAUGUUUUGUACUCACUGCAAGUAAACAGAAAGUGUGAAUUACA